CAAGCGGUGGAGCAUGUGGUUUAAUUCGAUGCAACGUGAAGAACCUUACCUACUCUUGACAUCCACGGAAUUCGGCAGAGAUGCCUUAGUGCCUUCGGGAACCGUGAGACAGGUGCUGCAUGGCUGUCGUCAGCUCGUGUUGUGAAAUGUUGGGUUAAGUCCCGCAACGAGCGCAACCCUUAUCCUUUGUUGCCAGCGAUACGGUCGGGGACUCAAAGGAGACUGCCGGUGAUAAACCGGAGGAAGGUGGGGAUGACGUCAAGUCAUCAUGGCCCUUACGAGUAGGGCUACACACGUGCUACAAUGGCGCAUACAAAGAGAAGCGACCUCGCGAGAGCAAGCGGACCUCAGAAAGUGCGUCGUAGUCCGGAUCGGAGUCUGCAACUCGACUCCGUGAAGUCGGAAUCGCUAGUAAUCGUGGAUCAGAAUGCCACGGUGAAUACGUUCCCGGGCCUUGUACACACC
rnacentral:rRNA from 1 species